rnacentral:rRNA from 2 species
GAUAGCUUGCUAUCAAUGCUGACGAGCGGCGGACGGGUGAGUAAUGCCUGGGAAUAUGCCCUGAUGUGGGGGAUAACUAUUGGAAACGAUAGCUAAUACCGCAUAAUCUCUUCGGAGCAAAGAGGGGGACCUUCGGGCCUCUCGCGUCAGGAUUAGCCCAGGUGGGAUUAGCUUGUUGGUGGGGUAAUGGCUCACCAAGGCAACGAUCCCUAGCUGGUCUGAGAGGAUGAUCAGCCACACUGGAACUGAGACACGGUCCAGACUCCUACGGGAGGCAGCAGUGGGGAAUAUUGCACAAUGGGGGAAACCCUGAUGCAGCCAUGCCGCGUGUAUGAAGAAGGCCUUCGGGUUGUAAAGUACUUUCAGUUGUGAGGAAGGCGUUGAUGUUAAUAGCUUCAGCGUUUGACGUUAGCAACAGAAGAAGCACCGGCUAACUCCGUGCCAGCAGCCGCGGUAAUACGGAGGGUGCGAGCGUUAAUCGGAAUUACUGGGCGUAAAGCGCAUGCAGGUGGUCUGUUAAGCAAGAUGUGAAAGCCCGGGGCUCAACCUCGGAACAGCAUUUUGAACUGGCAGACUAGAGUACUGUAGAGGGGGGUAGAAUU